CUAUUGGAAUUCCUUUCAGAGCAGACCCUGUGAUUUCUUAGUCAGGGAGAGGAUGGAUUUCAGGAGAUCUUUUAAGCAUCUGUUGAAUGGACAAAGACAUUGGUAUGCUUUAAUGCAGAGCAGAAAGGACCAUGUCAUGAAGGCGUAAGGAAGGAGUUUCACAAACUUCUGGGCAUAUGAGAUCCAAGUGCUCAGUUAUCAUGCAGACAUCUAUCACGUGGGGGCAAAGGAGAACUGCAGAGUUGGCACACGGUCUGAAAUGGAGGCGAACAGAUGAAGAUUCCUCGUGGCUGGAGUUUGGGGACGCUUACCGACCUCUCCUCUCUCAGGACACCGACGCUGCCUUCCACUGGAGAGUCCUGCUGCCUUGCCCCACCACGCAGAUUUGCCG